rnacentral:rRNA from 1 species
GACGAACGCUGGCGGCGUGCUUAACACAUGCAAGUCGAACGGAAAGGCCCUGCUUUUGUGGGGUGCUCGAGUGGCGAAAGGGUGAGUAACACGUGAGUAACCUGCCCUUGACUUUGGGAUAACUUCAGGAAACUGGGGCUAAUACCGGAUAGGAGCUCCUGCUGCAUGGUGGGGGUUGGAAAGUUUCGGCGGUUGGGGAUGGACUCGCGGCUUAUCAGCUUGUUGGUGGGGUAGUGGCUUACCAAGGCUUUGACGGGUAGCCGGCCUGAGAGGGUGACCGGCCACAUUGGGACUGAGAUACGGCCCAGACUCCUACGGGAGGCAGCAGUGGGGAAUAUUGCACAAUGGGCGGAAGCCUGAUGCAGCAACGCCGCGUGCGGGAUGACGGCCUUCGGGUUGUAAACCGCCUUCGCCUGUGACGAAGCGUGAGUGACGGUAAUGGGUAAAGAAGCACCGGCUAACUACGUG